rnacentral:rRNA from 1 species
GUCGUAACAAGGUCUCCGUAGGUGAACCUGCGGAGGGAUCAUUACACAAAUAUGAAGGCGGGCUGGAACCUCUCGGGGUUACAGCCUUGCUGAAUUAUUCACCCUUGUCUUUUGCGUACUUCUUGUUUCCUUGGUGGGUUCGCCCACCACUAGGACAAACAUAAACCCUUUGUAAUUACAAUCAGUGUCAGUAACAAAUUAAUAAUUACAACUUUCAACAACGGAUCUCUUGGUUCUGGCAUCGAUGAAGAACGCAGCGAAAUGUGAUAAGUAGUGUGAAUUGCAGAAUUCAGUGAAUCAUCGAAUCUUUGAACGCACAUUGCGCCCUUUGGUAUUCCAAAGGGCAUGCCUGUUCGAGCGUCAUUUGUACCCUCAAGCUUUGCUUGGUGUUGGGCGUCUUGUCUCUAGCUUUGCUGGAGACUCGCCUUAAAGUAAUUGGCAGCCGGCCUACUGGUUUCGGAGCGCAGCACAAGUCGCACUCUCUAUCAGCAAAGGUCUAGCAUUCAUUAAGCCUUUUUUUCAACUUUUGACCUCGGAUCAGGUAGGGAUACCCGCUGAACUUAAGC